rnacentral:rRNA from 1 species
AUACGUAGGGGGCGAGCGUUGUCCGGAAUGAUUGGGCGUAAAGGGCGCGUAGGCGGCGCGGUAAGUCUGGAGUGAAAGUCCUGCUUUCAAGGUGGGAAUUGCUCUGGAUACUGCCGCGCUUGAGUGCAGGAGAGGUUAUCGGAAUUCCCGGUGUAGCGGUGAAAUGCGUAGAGAUCGGGAGGAACACCAGUGGCGAAGGCGGGUAACUGGACUGCAACUGACGCUGAGGCGCGAAAGUGUGGGGAGCAAACAGGAUUAGAUACCCUGGUAGUCCACACUGUAAACGAUGAAUGCUAGGUGUAAGAGGUAUCGACCCCUUUUGUGCCGGAGUCAACACAAUAAGCAUUCCGCCUGGGGAGUACGGCCGCAAGGUUGAAACUCAAAUGAAUUGACGGGG